AAUCCUUUACAAAGUUCCAGCCAUGAUGAGCUAAGAACUUUAGAUUAAGCUAGGAAGAAUUCGAUUUGAUCUAAUCUGUACUAUACUGGUAGACUUCCCAUGUUCAACAAGUUUUUCACGCCAUUGCAUAGAACAGGGAUUGAUUGAUAAACGAUACUAAAAAAUUAAUGUUUUUCUUACAAAUUAAUUAUCAAUCAAAAACCAAAUAUAAGAUGAUAGUAAACAAGCCAAACAAUAUCUAGGUGCAUCAUGGUACUGUUAAUACAUUGGUUAACACAUUGAACAAACUUUAAAUUAGGCUACAUUUCAUUGUGCAAAAAGUAGCUUUUGCAUUUUGCAAUACAAACAUAAGAAAUGGUUUCCCCAAAUUCAUUCUCAACUCCAAGGGCCUAAAUUGAAAUAUUGAAGACGACAAUUUUUCGUACAAAGGCUGUUAGGCCAAGACACUUUAAGUAAAAGUGGCUCUCCCUCACACAUACCAUAUUAGCCCAUGGCAUAUUUCUGGGUCCAGCUUCUUGCAGUUGACUCAUAUUUGUUCCUAUCUGUCUUGUACAUGUGGGCAAUUUCAGGAACCAAAGGAUCAUCGGGAUUUGGAUCCGUCAACAAGGAACAAAUAGAGAGUAACACCUAUAGAUGUCACCAAAAUAAUAAACAAUGUAAAUAAUGAUUAGAUGUAAUGUAACUCCACAACCAUAUCAGGAUACAUGUGAAUAGCUAUAAAUAACAAAAAUUGAAAAAAGAUUUCCUUUUAAUUGGCGAUUAUAAAAAAUAUCAGAAAAAGUUACGCGAUUUAUAUUAACUGCAUUCAGUAUAAGUCUGAACUCUAUACUGCACAACAUUAUGCCCAAACUUCAAGCAGAACAGCCAUUAGAGAUUCUUUGCAUAUAAAUUACAAAGUAGGGAUAAGUACAUUUUGGUGAAUCCCACAGUUCAGCAGAUACCGGUGGAUAUCAAGACUAAGGAAUGAUAGUAAGAAAUAUUAUGCCAAACGUCAUGAAAACCAACCUCUAAACUUCAAGAGUUCAAUAACUAGGUAGAGUUUAACAAAUUCAAGUGUUUAUAAAGUAGGUGUUAUAUUUGUUUUCUAUUUUGUCAGUGUAAACAAAUUUUAAGAAGUAACGUUAUAAUUUGGCAAGAUGAUAAAAUUUAAUUAGAUGUCUGCGUAAAACCUGCUUACAUAAGUUCAAAAUUCAUAGCAUAAAAUUAUUAAAUUGGGAUUAUAUGUUGUGGUGAGCCCCCUGUUCAGUAAAUAAUGUUGACAGUAAGAAUAGGGGAAAAUCAAUUGCAUUGGUAAGCAUACAUUUAGGAACAUAUUAAAUGUAUAAAGAGAUGCUAUUCAAUAGAAUAUUAGAUGUAAUAAAUAGAGACUAGUACACUGCGCCCUUGACAUGCAUAAAGAGAUGCCAAGCAAGCAUCAAGACAAAAGAAUAUUAAAUGUAAUAAAUAGGGACUACUACACUGCCAUGAAUCCCUUGUUUGAUAAACACCAUUUGUCAUCAAGUGCAUGGAACAAUAACAUCUGGGUUUAGAUAUGGAUUGUAUUGGGAGAAUAGGAAACACAAUUUAAGAAAUGAACGUUUAUUUCACUACCUAAUAAAUUGAUAAAACAAACCUUGGAAAUGGUAAGAGCAGGGCUCCACUGCUCCUUCAAUAUAUCAAGGCAAAUGCUUCCAUUGCUAUUAAUGUUCGGGUGAAAUACCUUCGUCCUGAACGCAACCUGAAAGACCAAUCACCAUGCAUAGAUAAGUUCAUACAUACUGAAUGUGUAAGAUCAUAAUUAUUGUCAAUAAAUGAAUGCUUAAAUGACAAAGAAGUAAUCCAACAAAAUAAGGGAAAAUGCAAAGCAGCAUUCUUUAAAAUAAACUAGCAAGAAUUGAAUACAGUUAUAAUCGACAAUACAGAAACAGACAUGAUAUAUAAAUACAAACCUUGGGUGGCUUAAAGGGAUAAUCGGGAGGGAAAUGAAUAGUAACUAGGAAAACACCUCCAGCAUAUGGACUGUCUGCAGGACCCAUAAUUGUUGCUUGCCAAUGGAACAUAUCUUCAGCAACCGGGCCUGCAAUGUAUUGAUUAUGAAACAAAGUCAAAACAAGAAUAUAAGCACAAAUUUUUCUUCGUGCCACCACAAAUAUUGUAUCUAAAAUGACAGGGCGCUACAUAAUGUCCCAUUACUAUUCAUGUCAAUUGGCAUACAGAUAAAUUAACUUUAUCUGUAAAAGUAGUUUCAUCAUACAUAGCUACUUCUACAAAAAAAUUGUAAUUGCUAUUAUACAAAUUAGGAAAUAAGUUUAAGAAUAUUUGGCACUGAAGUGAAAAAUAUACAUGAUUAAAUAUUUUCCUGAUUCAGGCAAUGACUAGACCACAGUCCAGAUAUAAUAUAAAAAUUUAAAACAGAUGCAUAACACAUAACCGCACCAACAGAUGCAUAAUUUAAGCAAUAGCAUAGGCAAGUAAAAAGAGAUGAAAUGAUGAAUAUAGCUUGAUAUUUCUAUAAUCAAAAGCCUACAUAGACACCAAUUUUAUUAAAACAUGUAAAAGUCCGAUUAAUCCAUUCUUCAGCAACAUCGUGGAAUCCUAUAACUUUGCACCCGCACGGAACCAAACAAACACUGUCCUAGGGCCUAUUUGAACUAGCUUAUUUGAGCUUAUCUCCUGACAUAAGCACCUAUGAAACUUUGAGAGAACUUAUGUUCACAAGUUCUUUUCAACUUAUUUUCAUAAGUUCUCCAAGAUAGCUUGUGAAAACAGCUUAUAGCUUAUACAAAAAAAUAAUUUUAUUUUAUCAUCAAUUAUAAAAAUGGCUUAUACAUAACCAAGCACUUAUCAAUAACGAAAAACAUAAAAUUCUCAACAUGAAGUAAUUUAUCAACAAAUCACAAACUAUAUUGAAUCCAGCAACAAAAAGCAACCACCAAAUAUUCAAUUCCAGUUAUAAAAAAAACGCAAAAAAUAUACACAAAAAUAACAAUCACAAUAAAAAAAUUUAAAAAAUGAAAAAAGUAAUAAAUAUACCAGCACUGCAUGAAGUUGGAGGAUCCUUCUGCAAAUCCUUGAGUUCUUUCAAGAUCCGCUUUGAAGCCAUAGCAAAAACCUAACAAAAACAGAUCGAAAACAAAAAUCAGCUAAAAAUCAAAACAAAUAGAUCGAAAACAGAUAAUCGUAGAUAUGAUUGGUUACCAGGAGAAAACGCAAGAGAGAUCCUCCUUUUGAAUUUGCAAGGAAUUUGCAAAGAAUCGAAGAAAGAAAGAAAACGAGUUGUUGAAUAUAAAUGGUGUUGGUGCUUAGAAAUUUUGUGAUUGGGAGAUAAUAUUAAUUGUUUUUAAUGACUCGUUAUUGAAGGAAUCUAACGUUACGUAGGUCCACGCGGAAGAAACGAACCCAAUGCAUUAUACGGUGCUUGUUCAUUGUAUUAUUUUGUGUUCAUUUUUAUUUUAUUUUUAAUUUGGUAUUCGAUAUUAGGGUUGAGAAUCGGUGGGUUUUUGUUUGAAAAUCGUCAAACUAUUAAAAAAUAAAACUAUUUAGUUUAAUCUGAUUCGGGUCAGUUCUGGUUUUAGCCUCCUCCCGAUCACAGUUGCGAGCGAUCGAACCGUGGUCCUUCCUACCAAGUUCAACACUAAUAUGGAUUAGAUUUAAAUCUUGUUGUUAGAUCAAAAACUCCAUUGAUCCAGAAAUUCAUAUUCUUCAAAUAGUUCAAUACCUUAUAUACGAGAGAAUAAAUGAUAGAAGAACUAAAUGAACAACAAAAAGGGUGAAAUACAACUAAAUUAGAAAUACAAAGAUAGAGUAUAUUCCACACUCCUCAUCAACAUACAAACUUGUAAUCUUGCGACUUUGAAUGUUCUAGGUGAAGUAAUAAAAUAAUAUUAUUAUAAUUAUUUUUCUUACUCAAACAAUCACAUGACAAUUUAUUCACAACAAUCAAUCUACUACAACUAAGUUAGAUAGUUUGAAUCGCUUUAAAUACUAUCGGUCUAUUGUUAUUUAUAAGCAAGUGAAUACAUUUAACAUAAAUCAAAUCCUUUAAAUAUGGGGAUGAAUAAACUAACAAGCCUAAUCUUAGAGAGAUAUUCUCACCAAAAUAUAUCUUAAAUUCCUGCAGAUGUUAACCCCCUCAAGUUGGUGCAUAUAUAUUAUAUGCAUCAAGCUAUACUCGGAUCGGGAGUGGUUAUGGUGCAUAAGUUUUUUCCUUAUGCACCACCAUGCAUAAAUAUUCGCGCCGCGACAAGCGCGCCCCCCAGAUUUUCUUGCGCACCCCCAGUUUUUUUUCGUCCCAUUUUUUUCCUAGCGCGCCCCCCAAUUUUUUUUCCUCCCACGGAUUUCUAGCGCGCCCCCCAUUUCCAAUUAAAUAAUUACUUUUGUUCUUUUGAAGUACAUACUAUAAGAACCCAUUUUUAAAUUAAUUGUGUUGGAUGAUUAUAUAGCCAUAUUCUAAUUUAAAAUUACAUACUAAAAGAUGUACUGUAAUUAUGGUUUAAUUUAUCACAAUUAACAUAAAAACUAUUAAGUACAUCUAAUGAUUUUGGUGUACAUAUCUCUGAAACCAUUCCACGGCAAAAUGGUUUUGCAAUGAUUUUAGUUUAAAACUAACUACUAAAACAUUUAACCAUACAUAAUACUCUNNNNNNNNNNNNNNNNNNNNNNNNNNNNNNNNNNNNNNNNNNNNNNNNNNNNNNNNNNNNNNNNNNNNNNNNNNNNNNNNNNNNNNNNNNNNNNNNNNNNNNNNNNNNNNNNNNNNNNNNNNNNNNNNNNNNNNNNNNNNNNNNNNNNNNNNNNNNNNNNUUUAAAACUAACUACUAAAACAUUUAACCGUACAUACUACUUUGAAUAUUAUCCUUAAUCAAUAAACUAAAAUUCAAUUAAUCAAAAUUAAUCAAUUUUUUUAUAAAAAAAAAACUGGGGGGCGCGGUAGAAAUCUGGGGGGCGCAAAGCAAUUUGCGGGACGCACUAAGCAAUCUGGAGUAUUUAUGCAUGGUGCAUAAGCCUUGUGCAAGGCUUCUGCACCAUAGCUUUACCCCCUCGGACCCCUAAAGGAUUUAAGUUCAAAAAGGAAGUAAUUAUAUAACCGGAAAGAAUUUUCUCACGGAUGAAGUGACAAUUAAACUCUAUAUACUUUGUACAUUCAUGGAAGACUGGAUUAGAUGCAAUAUGUAAAGCUAUCUGAUUAUCAUAAAUUAGACACAUUGAUUCAGGCUUUCGAAACUUUAACUCAUCGAGAAGUUAUUUCAACCAAAUUAGUUCACAUGUAGUUGAGAGUCAUAGCUCAAUAUUCAACCUCUGCACUAGAUCUAGCAACAACAAUUUGUUUUUUACUUUUCCAAGAAAUAAAAUUUCCUCCAAUAAGAACACAAUAACUAGAGGUUGACACCGUCAAUAAUAAUAAUAAUAAUAAUAAUAAUAAUAAUAAUAAUAAUAAUAAUAAUAAUAAUAAUAACUAGAGAUUGACCGUAGAAGAACAUCCAUCUCAAUAAUCCUUUUUCAAAUGGUGCAUGCCAUCCUGGUUUUUUUUACUACAAUGGAUCCAUAUUCAUUGAAUGCAAGUACUCGUUCCAAGUUACUCCCUCCGUCCCAAAAUAUAAGAACUCAUUGACCACUGCACGUAUGCCAAUACAUAAUUUUGAUUGCGAAUAUCUUCAAUUCUCUAUUAGUAAAAAUUAUAGAAAUUUGAUAUUGUGAAAAUAUUCAUCGAAACAAAUCAAAAAAGUUGUUAUAUGAUAAUAUUUACAUUUAUAUACAUUUAGAAAAAUACUGUAAAAACAAAACAUAUGAAUAGUACAUUUAAUCAAAUGAGGUCUUAUAAAAUGGGUAUGAUAGUUAAUGUCAACAAAUCGUUUUCAAAGUUCCAGCCAUGAUGAGCUAAGAACUUUAGAUUAAGCUAGGAUGAAUUAUAGAUUUGAUCUAAUCUGUAUGAUACUGGUAGACUUCCCAUGUUCAACAAGUUUGUCACGCCAUUGCAUAGAACAGGGAUUGAUUGAUAAACAAUAAAAAUGAAUGUUUUUCUUACAAAUUAAUUAUCAAUCAAAAACCAAAUAUAAGCUGAUAGUAAACAAGCCAAGCCAAACAAUAUCUAGGUGCAUCAUGAUACUUUUAAGUUUUAAUACAUUGGUUAACACAUUGAACAAAUUUUUAAUUAGGCUACAUUUCAUUGUUCUGGAAGUAGCUUUUGCAUUUUGCAAUACAAACAACAUAAGAAAUGGUUUCCCCCAAUUCAUUCUCAACUAGAGGGGCCUUAAUUGAACUAUUGAAGACAGACAAUUUUUCAUACAAAGGCUGUUAGGCCAAGACACUAUAAAAGUGGCAUUCCCUCACAAAUACCAUAUUAGCCCAUGGCAUAUUUCUGGGUCCAGCUUCUUGCAGUUGACUCGUAUUUGUUCCUAUCUGUCUUGUACAUAUGAGCAAUUUCAGGAACCAGAGGAUCAUCGGGAUUUGGGUCUGUCAACAAGGAACAAAUAGAGAGCAACACCUGUAGAUGUCAAAGAAAUAAAAAUAAUAAUUAGAUGCAACUCCACAACUAUAUCAGGAUACAUGAAAAGUUUUUGUUGUACUCUGUACUGAAUAACAUGAUGCCAAACUUCAAGCAAAACAGCCAUUCCAGAUUAGUUGCAUAAAAAUUACAUAGUAGGGAUAAGUGCAUUUUGGUCAAUCCCAGAGUUCGAAAGAUACUGGUGAACAUCAAGACUAAGGAACGUUAUGCCAAACUUCAACUCUCAACUGAACAUCAAAGACUAUUCCCUUUACUGAACAACAUUAUGCCAAACUUCAACUCUCAACUGAACAUCAAAGACUACUCUCUACUAAACAAUAUCAUGCCAAACUUCAAGCAAAACAGCCAUUCAAGAUUCUUUGCAUAUAGAUUAUAAAGUACGGACAAGUAGAUUUCAAUGAAUUCCACAAUUAUAAAGUAGGGAUCCUUAAAGAAUUUUUGUAGUUAUUGGAUUAUGAAACUCCCUGCACGGUGUUGUGUAAAACUAGCCAAACUUCAUGAAAGCCAUCCUCUAAACUUCAAGAGUUUAAUAACAGGGUAGAGUUUAACAACUUCAGGUGUUUAUAAAUUAGGUGUUACAUGGUUUUCUAUCUUGUCAUAGUGUAAACUAAUUUUAAGAAGUAACGAUAUAAUGUGGCAAGAUGACAAAAUAUAAUUAGACGUCUGUGUAAAACCUGCUUGCAUAAGUUCAAAAUUCACAGCAUAAAAUUAUUAAAUAGGGAUUAUAUGUUGUGACGAUUCCCCCCUAUUCAGUAAAUAAUGUUGACAGUAAGAAUAGGGGAAAAUGGAUUGCAUUAGUAAGCAUAUAUUCUUAUACUACAUAUUAUACAUAUUAAAUGUAUAAGGAGAUGCCAUUCAAAAGAAUAUUAGAUGUAAUAAAUAGGGACUAGUAUGGUGCGAUGAAUCCCUUGACAUGCAAAAAGAGAUGCCCUUCAAAUAUCAAGGCAAAAAGAAUAUUGAAUGUAAUAAAUAGGGACUAGUACACUGCGAAGAAUCCCUUGUUUGGUAAACACCAUUUGUCAUCAAGUGUACGGAACAAUCACGGCUUGGUUUAGAUAUGGAUUGUAUUGGAAGAAUAGGGUACAUACUUUAAGGAAUGAAGGUUUAUUUCACUAUCUAAUAAAUUGAUAAAACAGACCUUGGAAAUGGUUAGUGCAGGGCUCCACUGCUCCUUCAAUAUAUCAAGGCAAAUACUUCCAUUGCUGUUAAUGUUUGGGUGAAAUACCUUCGUCCUGAAUGCAACCUGAAAGAUCAAUCACCAUGCAUAGAUAUGUUCAUUCAUACUGAAUUUGUCAAUAAAUGAAUGCUUAAAUGACAAAGAAGCAAUCCAAAAUAAUAAGGGAAAAUGCAAAGCAGUAUUCUAUAAAAUAAACUAGCAAGAAAUGAAAACAGCUUUAAUCGACAAUACAGAAACAGACAUGGGAUAGAAAUAGAAACCUUGGGUGGCUUAAAGGGAUAAUCUGGAGGGAAAUGAAUAGAAACUAGGAAAACACCUCCAGAAUACGGACUGUCUGAAGGACCCAUAAUUGUUGCUUGCCAAUGAAACAUAUCUUCAGCAACCGGGCCUGCAAUGUAUUGAGUAUGAAACAAAGUCAAAACAACAAUAUAAGCAUAAAUUGUUCUUCAUGCCAGCACAAAUAGUGUACCUAAAAUGACAUGGCGCUACAUAAUAUCCCACUACUCAUCAUGUAAAUUGGCAUACAGAUAAAUUAACUUAUCAGAUAAAGUAGUUUCAUCAUACAUGGCCACUUCUCAAAAAAAAUUGCAAUUGCUAUAUACACAAUAGGAAAUAAGUUUAAGAAUAUUUGGCACUGAAAAAUAUCCAUGAUUAAAUAUUUUCCUGAUUCAGGUAAUGACUGGACCAUAGUCCAAAUACAAUAUGUAAAUUCAAAACAUCAAUCAGUACACAACUACAGCAACUACAACUUCCAUUUCUGCAGAAUCUGGUCACAUAACACACAACAGCACCAACAGAUUCAUAAUUUAAGCAAUAGCAUUGCCAAGUAAAAAGAGAUGAAUAUAGGUUGAUACUUCUAUAAUCAAAAGCCUACACAAUCGACAACAAUCUAUGAAAACAUAUAAAAGUCAAAGAAAUCCACUCUUCAGCAACAUCGUGGAAUCCGAUAACCGCCCCCACACAGAACAAAACAAACACUGUCCUAGGGACUAUUUGAAUCAGCUUAUUUGAGCUUAUCUCCCGACAUAAGCACCUGUGAGACUGCUUGAGAGAACUUAUGAAAGCAGCUUAUAACAUGUUCGUAUGUUGUUUUCAACUUAUUUUCAUAAGUUCUCCAAAAUAGCUUGUGAAAACAGCUUAUAUGAAAAAAUAAUUUUAUCUUAUCUCUAAUAGUAAAAAUGGCUUAUACAUAAGCACUUAUCAUAACUAUCGUAUAUGCUAUAGGUUGCAAAUUAAGUUGUUUAUCCGAAAAGGCCCGAAUCCAAAGAUGAAAGUAAAACCAAUCUCAAAUAACAUCUACUACAACCAAUUAAAACAAUUAACAAUCUCAAACAAAAACGAAAAACAUAAAAUUCUCAACAUGAAGUUACAAUAUUGUAAUUUAUCAACAAAUCACAAACUAUAAACACACCUGAAUCGAACUUAAAAUUGAUCUAAUAACAAAAAAUAAGCAGCAAAUAUAUGAUUCCAAUUGAAAAAGAGCAAAAAAAAUAUACAUAAAAAUAUCAAUCAAAAUUAAAAAAAUAAAAUAAAAAAAAGAAAUAUAUAUACCAGCACUGCACGAAGUUGGAGGAUCCUUCUGCAAAUCCUUGAGUUCUUUCAAUAUCCGUUUUGAAGCCAUAGCAAAAACCUAACAAAAACAGAUCGAAAACAAAAACCAGCUUAAAAAUCAAAACGAAUAGAUCGAAAACAGAAAAUCGUAGAUGAUGAUGAUUGAUUACCUAGAGAUAACGCAAGAGAGAUCCUCCUUUGAAUUUGCAAGGAAUUGAAGAACGAAUGAAAAGGAGUUGUUGGAUAUAAAUAAAUGGUGUUGGUGCUUUUUUGAAAUUUUGGGAAUGAGAUAUUAUUAAUUGGUGUUAAUGAUUGUGAUAAUUGUAUUUAUUUAGAUUUAGAUUAGAUUAAAUUAGAUUCCAAACGAUGACUCGUUAUUGAAGGAAUCUUUUACUUUUGUUUUGUCCACGCGGAAGGGGGUCAGAACAGAAGAAACGAAUCGAGGGUAAUAUUGGUUCUUGCUCUUUGUUCUAUUUUGUGAUGAUUGAUGCAUUGAAUCUAGGUUCCAAACUUCCAAUUUAGCAAGAAAAAUGCUAAAAUAUGUAGUAUUAAUUAUUAAAGAUAUUGUUUAAAAAUUUAUAAAAUUUUAUUUGGAAAUAGUAUAGGUCAAAUAUUUCUUAAAUUAAUAAGUAUAUUAUUUUUUUUAUAUAAAAGUAAAUUUUUUAAUUUUUCUUUUUUGAUUUACAAUGAGUUUGAGAUCGAACUCAGGACCUAUUAGGAUUCUUUCUAUUUUUCAAUGGAAAUAGAAAGUUCUAUUUAAAGAUAGCCACAAAUAAGUUUAAAUUAUUUUAAAAAUAUUAAAUGAUGACGGAAUUCACUUGAUAAUGAAACUCACUACCUGUUUUUUAAUUUUUAUGUGUAUGUCUCUCUAAUGGAGUUUUUCAUUUUUUUGAAAAAUAUAGAGGAUCCUAACUUGAGAAAUAUAUUGUUAUUAGAUCGCAUCCUUGUAUAAACACACCCACUCUCUUCUCUAUGUCAUGUGGAUAAGAUAAGUAAAAAAAAGUUAAAAAUCUAUUUGUAUAACUAGUAAAUGAGACAAUAUAAGUGAUUGUUGUUCUAUUCAACCGCCACAUCACAAUCCUUAGGUAAAAGAGAUGGUCUACAUAAGACUAACCAAACCACUUUAAGGUUGGAUAUGAUGGAUUACGGUAUUGUAAAGGAGCUGGAGAAUCUCAAAACUAUGACGAUCUUUUCAGUAGCUCCGAAGGCAAAUGAAUGAAAAAAAUACAAUAGAAAGAGUUGAGUUUUUUUAAAAAACAAAUUGCAAAUUAUUAGUAUAUUAAUUGUUACAUUAGUUGUUUACACUUUGUCAGAACUUGAACUUUGUACCUCCAACUCUGUUAACCAUUAACUAGUUCAACUAGUUGAACUACUCAUCCCACCCAUUAGAAAAAGAUGAGUGUGUGAUGACAGAAUUGUGAGACAUAUAUCUAAGUUCGAAGUUUGGAUAUAGCUUAAAGAAAAAGGUAUUUUUGGCGUUAUUGAUUAAAGAAAAAGAUAUAGAUUAGAUUAAGCUACGAUAACUUAUAUUUGAUCUAAUGUGAACGAUACUGGCAGACUUGCCAUGUUCAACAAGUUUUUGGCGUCAUUGCAUAGAACAGGGAUUGAUAAACAACAAAAAUUAAUGUUUUUCUUACAAAUUAAUUAAUUAUUAAUCAAAAUCAAAAUAUAAGCUAAUAGUAAACAAGCCAAACAAUAUCUAGGUGCAUCAUGAUACUGUUAAUACAUUGGUUAACACAUUGGACAAACUUUUAAUUAGGUUACAUUCCAUUGUUCUAGAAGUAGCUUUGCAACAACAUAAGAAAUGGCUCCCCCAAUUCAUUCUCAACUAGAGGGGCCUUAAUUGAACUAUUGAAGACGACAAUUUUUCAUACAAAG
rnacentral:lncRNA from 1 species